rnacentral:rRNA from 1 species
CCUACGGGUGGCAGCAGUGGGGGAUAUUGCACAAUGGGGGGAACCCUGAUGCAGCGACGCCGCGUGAGUGAAGAAGUACUUCGGUACGUAAAGCUCUAUCAGCAGGGAAGAAAAUGACGGUACCUGACGAAGAAGCCCCGGCUAACUACGUGCCAGCAGCCGCGGUAAUACGUAGGGGGCAAGCGUUAUCCGGAUUUACUGGGUGUAAAGGGAGCGUAGACGGCGGGGCAAGUCUGGAGUGAAAGCCCAGGGCUUAACCAUGGGACUGCUUUUGAAACUGUGCGGCUAGAGUGCAGGAGAGGUAAGCGGAAGUCCUGGUGUAGCGGUGAAAUGCGUAGAUAUUAGGAGGAACACCAGUGGCGAAGGCGGCCUACUGGACUGUAACUGACGUUGAGGCUCGAAAGCGUGGGGAGCAAACAGGAUUAGAUACCCGGGUAGUC